rnacentral:tRNA from 1 species
GGCUCGGUAGUGUAGUUGGUUUAUCACGUCAGUCUAACAUUUAGUUAGGUCACUGAAGGUCCCGAGUUCAAGCCUCGGCUGAGUCA